rnacentral:rRNA from 1 species
ACGGGAGGCAGCAGUGGGGAAUAUUGCACAAUGGGGGAAACCCUGAUGCAGCGACGCCGCGUGAGUGAAGAAGUAUUUCGGUAUGUAAAGCUCUAUCAGCAGGGAAGAAAAUGACGGUACCUGACUAAGAGGCACCGGCUAAAUACGUGCCAGCAGCCGCGGUAAUACGUAUGGUGCAAGCGUUAUCCGGAUUUACUGGGUGUAAAGGGAGCGUAGACGGCGAGGCAAGUCUGAAGUGAAAUGCGGGGGCUCAACCCCUGAACUGCUUUGGAAACUGUUUUGCUAGAGUGCAGGAGAGGUAAGUGGAAUUCCUAGUGUAGCGGUGAAAUGCGUAGAUAUUAGGAGGAACACCGGCGGCGAAGGCGGCUUACUGGACUGUAACUGACGUUGAGGCUCGAAAGCGUGGGGAGCAAACAGGAUUAGAUACCCUGGUA